CCUACCCAGCCGGGGGCGCCAGGCUCGGAUUCCGGCACCCUAGCUUGCGACCUACGACCCAGGGGCGUCUGGUGCACGCGCACACUGACUUUCUGCAGAUGGGUUUGCUCAAACCACGAAUCCUUACAACUCUGCGCUCCUUGGAUCUUCCCAGCGACCCUCGUGUAACAUAAUUGGGAACUGAGACCCUGCAGAAUAAAGCGACUUGCCCAAAACACGUGGUGGGGCUCCGGGAGAGGAGGGAAGAGCUCCAGCCCACUCAGGUCUCCGCAUCCCCCUCCAAGGGCUCAGGCAGCAGCUGGGUUAUCACUGUGCCCUGCAGUCACCCAGGAGAGGCCAGAAGGAGUGAUGCGGACAGGGCCAAGCCAGCCCCAGAUCAGAAAAAACGAGCUGUUCUGGGAAGCCAAUAAAGCAUUAGAAUGAUGUGAAGGAGGAAAAAGGCACCCCGAGAAGAGUCGGGAAGCUCUGAGGAUUUCCGGCUUACUUUUUCAGUUACACCUGCCUCAGCAUAAACUGAGCACCGAGCUACAAGUCAGGUGGUCAAGUGGCUUUGUAAGGACAGAUGUGAUGAGUCUCUUCCCUCCAAAGGGGUCAGAUGUGUGCUUCCUAAGAGCCUUUGCAGUUCUGGGGAGCCCUGAGCAACCCUAGUAAUGUUGGGAAGCCAAGAAAAAAAAACAUUGUACAACCACUUGUAUCAUGGGAAAUUCUCAUGUGAUCUUGGAUCACAGAAAAAUGGAUAAUGGUGGGUUUCCUGGUUCCUUGAGCAAGCCCAGAAGGUCUGGGUAGGACACUAUGAUACCUGCCUGCUUUACUGGGCUCUGAUCAUAGAGAUGAGCCAGGGCUCCCCAAAGAGGCCCUGCCAUUGUUCCAUGCAGGGAGAAAGAAAAAGCCACCGCCCACGGUGGGAUCUGGAUGCUUCACCUUCAUCCUUCUGAACCACCCUGUGAUGGGCAUCUUGGUGCCUAGGUCUUUGCCCAUGCUUUGUUUCUUUACCCAGGCAGGACCCCCUGAAGGAAUCCCUGGGCAAAGCUGUGAACAUUUCCAAGCCUCCUUGUGCCUCUGUCUGUUUCCAGCUGGAGCCAAGACUUGAGGUGAAGGGUGGAGGAACGAUUCCCCAGGGAGCUGCAGCAGGAGCUGGAGGGUAUUUCCAUGGGCCCUGUCUUGUGUCAUCUGCACAGUGGACUGUGCACACAUGAAGGCCACCCUCCACCCCUCAACAUGACCCAAAACCCUAGUGCAAAGAAUAUUACCCCUCAACAUGAUCCCAGAACCUUAGUGCAAAGAGCAUUCUAGCUACCCCCUGCUUCCCUUAAAGCCACCUGCUCUCUGGGUCACCCUUAUCCAGUCAGUUGUCUGCAUCCAUUGGCUGCUGGCUAGAGCAGAAGCACUGGUCCCCUGGUGUGCAGCGGGGCAUAUGGCUGGCUCCCAGCACCUGCUUGCUGAGUGGAACCUCAGCGUCUGAUAGGGAAGUCCACAGGAGGGGCUGGAAGGAGAGACCACUCAGCCUGAGAAGAAGGCUGAGUUGGCCUGGGCCUUGGUGUCCUUCGGAGAGACCACGAUGCAAAGGACAAAGGCACACCUCUCUUUGCUGUGUCACUGAGUGUGAAAAAGACAGGAAACUGCCUUAAAAUGCAAUGUCAUUUUAGACAUUGACACGGGAUUGGUUACCUGAGACGGUAGAAUCACAGAGUGGAUGCUAUUAAACCUGCUCCAUUAAAGGAGAGGUGCGAUCACAGUCCUGGGGGGCCGCUGGAUGUUUCUUACAACUUCCCUCAUCAUGGCAGUCUUGGGAAUGGCUGUGGGGCGGGGUAAUGAUCGAGGCCCUGGAACUCUGUCACUGGAGGCCCUGGGAGCUCCUUCCAUGGUGUCUACUGCAUGACCCAGAGCUGUCCCUGGGUUCUCCCCAUUCAUUCAACUUUCUCCAGCCAGACACUCAGCCUGUCCGGGUUUGCCCCUAGGCCUGGAGGCCAUGGUGUGGCAGUAGCGGCAGCAGCCUGUGACCCAGAACCAGGCGGUUCCUGCAGUUAGUUCCACAGGGUUCUCCUCCCUUCCUCCUUCCCAAAGGCUAGAGUAAGAGUCGACCAAACAAACUCCUAUUAGUAUGCAUAUGUAUUCCCACAUUCCUUAACAGAAUGACUAACACCACCUACAGCCAUUAGCUGAGUUUGUUUUCUAAAUCCAGUUUACUUUCUGUCAUCCAGCCCUGUUUACCACUUCCCGUCCCCCUCCCUCCUUCCCAGCCUUCUAUCCAUUCCCAGGGGGCAGGUUCCUGAGGCACGCAGGGCUCAGACCCUCCUGGCCACCAAAGUCAGGCACCAGAGAACUUGUGACUGAGCAUCUUCCCUGCGGGGCCUACCACUUUGAUACAAGAUAGAAGGCACAAAAGGAGACUGAAGAGACCCACACCAGUGCUGGCUCUGGGGCCUGCAGGCUAUAGAGCACUCCCAGACAAGCAUGUUAGUUCACCCCCCUGUAAUCCCAGCACUCUUCGAGGCUGGGGCUGCAGGAUCUCACGUUCAGGCCCAGUCUGGGCAGUUUAGCAAUUCAGUAAGACCCUGUCUCAAAAAAUAAAAUAAAAAUAAAAAGGGCUGAGGGUGUAAUUCAGUGGGAAGGCCCUGGGUUCAAUCGCCAGUACUUAAAAAAAAUUCCCAAUGUUUCCCUACUGAUUGGGCACAACAAUCACACAGAUCAUGAUCCCCAUUUUUCAACAAAAACACCGAGUCCCUGACUGAUAACACGCCAGCUCUGAGAGCUUGGAGAUGUUGACUGAUGAUGCUGGAUUACAAAUCGAGUCUUCAGACCCCGCAUCUCUGGUUCCUUCUGCGGCUGAGGCAGCCCCUCUUAUUCUAAGUGGCAGAUGGCCUAGGGCAGCCUGGUACACCCUCAGCUGGGGGCAGAGCAAGGCUGGGGGAACACAGCUGGCUUCACAUAGGCUCUCCAGCCCUCAAGGACCACAAGGACCUGGGCACACUUAGGAGAUUCUGGAAUUUAGUGGUGUGGUGGAAUGAACAGCAAUGAAAAAGAUAUGGAUAGAGAACCCGAUUCCUAGUGUGACCUUGGGCAACUGUCCCUUUGUCUGGGCCUCAGUUUCCCGGCCUCUAAAAUCACACAAUCAAGACUAACUGGCCUCUUGGAGCCAAUCAAAAGCAAGAGCCAUUCAAAGCAGAAAACAGUAGAUGACAGAGACUUCCCUGGUGUUCUGUCACCUACCAGGGAAUCCCCAAAUUUGAAGGCUGAUAUUGAACCAGGAUCUCACAAAGUGGGCUGUUGCAAGUGUGUGGCAGAUCAGGGCAGGACCACAGCUCAUUGCUGGGGCCUUGUCCCCUCUACCCUGAAGCCCACACCUCUCUUGGCAAUAGCAAGAGUGCAGGGACCGUGUGACAGCUUCUCUCUGCCCUGGAUGGCAACUGUUCAAUUUAAUUCUCAUAAAAACCCAGUCAGGGCCUAGUAUUAUCCCCAUUUUACAGAUACGGCAACCAAGACCCAGGCAAGCUACAUAAGCUGGGUCAGGGAGGUGGGAGGGAGCAGGUCUAUAGUUCUAACCCUGACAUGCCAACUCCAGUGCUAGAACGGGUUGUUUGGGCAGUGCAUUUGUUUAGAGAGGAUUAAUAGGAGCAAAAUCACCAUCUAAGGAGAAUUAAUAGAGGAAAAUCACCAUCUCUGCCCCAAUAUGGCCAGAGCAAACCCUCCUUUUUCCUACUGGCUCCUGUUUCCUUCCGUCACCGCUCCCUGCCUCCUUUAUGCAUUGUUUGGAACAUACAGUCAUAAGUGUGCGGUUUGUUUUAUAAUCCAGUCGACUGUGGAAGCGCAGCCAUUGUCAUUUAUGUCCCUGCCUCAGCACCGUUCACCCGAGAGAUUUAUCGAGGUACGAAUUGACUGACUACAAGAUUCUUUCCAUUCCUUAAUCAAGUCCUUGGCUCCUCUUUCAAAGAGACUUGGAGAAUGGAGCAGAAACCAACCUAUGCCUGUCCUGAGCGGGACAAUAAUUCAAUUUAAUCUAAUAAAACUGCCUUUGUGGCUCCACAUGAAAACUACAGAGAAGGAUUAAGGGAAGAAUCAGCCAUGGCCCCAUCCUGCACUCUGGCUGCCCUGACCAGCCAAGUACCCAGAUAAUUGCCGUAUAGAAUCACAGGGUAAAAACAGAAAGUGUGGGAGACAUUGUGUAUUUACAGAAUAGAGAUCAUCUCAAAGCAGAUAAGUCAGAUAAGACUUCAAGGGCAGGAUGACAGAUAAAAGAUGAAUAACACUUGAAGGAUGAUAGUGUUUUGACUGGGAAACAGAUGAGAGGAACUGGCAGGAGCGGCGGGGUAAGAGUGUGGGUGGAAGGAAAGAAGAAGGACAGUAAAAUGGGUUUAGGACCGUGGAGAGUUUCCUGCGUGACCAAAUCACAGGGCAGGAGAUGGCCUGGUGGCUGGGAUGUGGGCUCAGGGGUCAGAUUUGGAGUUAAAUUCAACACCCCCCCCCAUCCAGAAGGAAAGUUCUUGGGAACGUUAUAAAAUCUUUGUCUCCAUUUGUUCCUCAGCCAAGUGGGAAUAAUGACAGUGACCUUCGUGGGAUGGAUGAGAGGCGUCUAAAGAGAGUCCUCCCAGCCAAGUACGGUAGUGCUCACCUGUAAUCCCAGCGCUUCUGUUCUUUUAUAGUUGUUUUUCUGCAAUCAUGACUGGGUGUGCUGGGGAAUAAGCACACAGUAGGCUGGCUCUACGUCAAACACAGAGAUGAUGGGUCCAGAUCCCUUCCUACAGACCCCUGAGAAGCACUGCAGGGUUUUGAACUGAUCUGCAUGGGGACUACCAGGGAAGGAACCAAAGAAAGGAAAUCAGUUGUGAUGGUUUGGAUAAAUGUCCCCCAGAUGUAUGUGCAUUCAGGGAUUCCUCAUGGGCAUGUGAUGCUAUCAGGAGGUUGUGGAGAUUUUAGAGGUGGAGCCCUAGUGGGAGGUCAGUGAGGCCUGUGUCCUGGAAUGGGAAUCUGAGCCCGUGGUCUCUUCCUCUUCUUAUUCUGCUUCCUCUUCUUCUUCUCCUAACCAUGAGGUGAGUAUUUUUGCCUCUUAUUGCUGCCAUGAUGAGCUGACUUACCACUGACUCAAAAUCAAUGGGCCUGUGGGCUGAAACCUCUAAAACUGUGAGCCAAAAUAAACUUUUUCUCUCUAUAAGCUGAUUGCUUCAGAUGUUUGUUACAGUAACAGAAAACUGACUAACAGUAGUUAUAAAUUUACUGAGAGAGUUUCCAGCUAAGGGGAGAGAAGAGGUCAGUCCAAUAGUAACAGUAGAAAUUGAUGUGAGAAAUGGAAUAGAGAGGACUCUGGAGAUGACCAGAUUGGAGUCAGCAUGAAGAAUGGUUGGUAUCCUUGGGAAAGACUGAAAGAUGAGAGAGAGCAGGAGAGGAGGUGGGGGUGAUGGAUUUCAUAUGGGAUGUGGGGUACUGAGAACUUGGCGACACCCAGAUCAUCUUAUCUGGGACAAGAGUAAACAGAUAGGUGGAGGAAAUGGUUAGCCGUAGAACGGAGGUGAAGGUCAUGAGAAUGGAGGAAAUCCCCAGGGGACAAAGUGUAGGGUGAGAGAGAGGUGGGGUUAGGGACCUACACUUACUCAUCUGUACUCCACACAGGGUCCUGCUGUAGUCCUCACACCUGUUGACAGGAGUCUUUUCCUCCUGCUUUGGAGAGAUCAGUUGGCCCCUACUGAUGGACAAAGAGACAUAGUACCAUAAGGUUAAGGUCUCACUGCAAGUGAGAGAAGACAGCCAACGUGGAUCGUGAUGCAAUUUCU